rnacentral:sRNA from 3 species
UGUAUCUGAAGUCUGACGAGGAUGAGAACCUCCGGGGGCAAGAGGUUCGACCCGAGCGAAGCGAGAGAACGUUGCGUCAGCAACGGCCCGCAGGGCGAGCCACGCAGUGGCGAGUCAUCCUCUAUCACCGAACU